CGUGUAGGCGGUCUGUUAAGUCUGGUGUGAAAGCCCUAGGCUCAACCCAGGAAGUGCAUUGGAUACUGGCAGACUUGAGUAUGGGAGAGGAAAGCGGAAUUCCGAGUGUAGGAGUGAAAUCCGUAGAUAUUCGGAGGAACACCAGUGGCGAAGGCGGCUUUCUGGACCAAUACUGACGCUGAGACGCGAAAGCGUGGGGAGCAAACAGGAUUAGAUACCCUGGUAGUCC
rnacentral:rRNA from 1 species